rnacentral:rRNA from 6 species
GUUGACCUCGAAUCAGGUAGGACUACCCGCUGAACUUAAGCAU